rnacentral:pre_miRNA from 1 species
AAAACAUUCGGACCGACGGUCUAUCGAGCAAUAUCACCCGCUCGGCUAUCGGUGGAAGAUUUUCCCUCCGUUUU